rnacentral:lncRNA from 1 species
AUUAGAAUAAAAUUCUUUGAUUACAAUAUUUGUUGUUUAUUUUACAUAAAUUAGAUUCUGAUUGUUAUUUCACUCUAGAAUGAGAAUAAUUCAGUUCAUUUACGAUUCAAUCCGACUUUAAAUCCUGUAUUGACCAAUUUCAAAAUAAAUCACUCACUAUCCUCUCUCACAACAUCAUUCCCUCCUCUCCUUUAAUUAAAACUCCUCUCUCAAAAUUCUAUAUGUUGUAUCGUUCAUUCCGAUUUUCACUAUAAUAAUAAAUCAAAUAUUUUUGAAUGAUGUAUCAUUCUAUUUUUCAUUCUAAUGCAAUUCAAUUCAAUUUUCUAUCUUUAGUGCAAUAAUGAACCAAACAUGCCCUAAGAAUUGAA